CAGUAGCCGCGGGAAUACAGAGGUCCCAAGCGUCGUUCGGAUUCACUGGGCGUAAAGGGUGCGUAGGCGGUUGGGUAAGUUUGACGUGAAAUCUCCGGGCCUAACCCGGAAACUGCGUUGAAUACUAUCCAGCUAGAGGAUUGGAAGGGAGACUGGAAUACUUGGUGUAGCAGUGAAAUGCGUAGAUAUCAAGUGGAACACCAGUGGCGGAGGCGAGUCUCUGGACAAUUCCUGACGCUGAGGCACGAAAGCCAGGGGAGCAAACGGGAUUAGAUACCCGUGUAGUCCCUGUCUCUUAUAA
rnacentral:rRNA from 1 species